UAACGCGUUAAGUAUCCCGCCUGGGGAGUACGCACGCAAGUGUGAAACUCAAAGGAAUUGACGGGGGCCCGCACAAGCGGUGGAGUAUGUGGUUUAAUUCGAUGCAACGCGAAGAACCUUACCAAGACUUGACAUCCUGCGAAUCCCGGUGAAAGCUGGGAGUGCCUUAGGGAGCGCAGAGACAGGUGGUGCAUGGCUGUCGUCAGCUCGUGUCGUGAGAUGUUGGGUUAAGUCCCGCAACGAGCGCAACCCUCGUUUUUAGUUGCCAGCAUUAAGUUGGGCACUCUAG
rnacentral:rRNA from 2 species